ACACUCCUGCGGGAGGCAGCAGUGGGGAAUUUUGGACAAUGGGCGAAAGCCUGAUCCAGCCAUGCCGCGUGCAGGAUGAAGGCCUUCGGGUUGUAAACUGCUUUUGUACGGAACGAAACGGCCUUUUCUAAUAAAGAGGGCUAAUGACGGUACCGUAAGAAUAAGCACCGGCUAACUACGUGCCAGCAGCCGCGGUAAUACGUAGGGUGCAAGCGUUAAUCGGAAUUACUGGGCGUAAAGCGUGCGCAGGCGGUUAUGUAAGACAGUUGUGAAAUCCCCGGGCUCAACCUGGGAACUGCGUCUGUGACUGCAUAGCUAGAGUACGGUAGAGGGGGAUGGAAUUCCGCGUGUAGCAGUGAAAUGCGUAGAGAUGCGGAGGAACACCGAUGGCGAAGGCAAUCCCCUGGACCUGUACUGACGCUCAUGCACGAAAGCGUGGGGAGCAAACAGGAUUAGAUACCCGGGUAGUCCCA
rnacentral:rRNA from 1 species